UACGUAGGGUGCAAGCGUUGUCCGGAAUUAUUGGGCGUAAAGAGCUCGUAGGCGGUCUGUCGCGUCUGCUGUGAAAACUCAGGGCUUAACCCUGAGCUUGCAGUGGGUACGGGCAGACUAGAGUGCGGUAGGGGAGACUGGAAUUCCUGGUGAUAGCGGUGAAAUGCGCAGAUAUCAGGAGGAACACCGGUGGCGAAGGCGGGUCUCUGGGCCGAUACUGACGCUGGAGGAAGCGAAAGCCGUGGGGAGCGAACAGGA
rnacentral:rRNA from 1 species